UUCUAAAUUAUUGCAAAAAAAGGAAAAUAUUUCUAAAAUCAGAGAAUCUCUCUCCUCGAUUCUUCUCCCUCUUCCUCUUCAGCUUCAGCUUCGUUUUCUCUCUCCUCUGUCGUCGCCGUCGCUUCUUCACCGCCGGAGAUCGAUAUCCCCCACCUCCGUUGAUCUCUACCCUCUUCCAGAUCAGACUAAUUCAGGCCACUGUUAGCGUACAACUGUGAUAACUCUUUGAAAGGCCUUAUAUUUAUUGCCGGGAAGAGAAUUGUAAACUAACCACUGGAGAUGGAGCACAUGAUUUUCAAGGGAGGCCUGUGGAAUUAAUUUGGAGACCCUGUCUUUUUAUUUGUGAACGCUCAAGCAGGCGACCCAUCUGGCAAAGGCAUCAAAGACUCGGCGUUCAAAUUCAGCACUGGUCUUCAAUAAUACGAGGGAGCGGCCUUUCACCUUUGAGGAGCUAGAUGAAGUUCGAGAAAUGUUGGCAAACUUCAUUACCAGUGAUUGUUUUUGAUAUUUUCUUGUACUGAAUCUUAAAUUAUGGAUGCUAGCUAGUGUUUCAUAUGAUUGCAAUGUAAUCGACUUUCAUAUUUACAAUUAUAUACUAUUUAUUUUAAUUAUCUAUAUAAUUGGAUACUUUUUGUAUGA